CGGCGAGUGAAGAGGGAAGAGCCCAAGAUUGAAAGCUGGCGUCUUCGGCGUCCGCAUUGUAAUCUCAAGAAGUGUUUUCCGUUUCGGACCAUGCCUAAGUCUCUUGGAAAAGAGCAUCAUAGAGGGUGAUAAUCCCGUACAUGGCAUGGAGCGCCCGAGACUUUGUGAUACGCUUUCUAAGAGUCGAGUUGUUUGGGAAUGCAGCUCAAAAUGGGUGGUAAAUGCCAUCUAAGGCUAAAUAUUGGGGAGAGACCGAUAGCGAACAAGUACAGUGAUGGAAAGAUGAAAAGAACUUUGAAAAGAGAGUUAAACAGUACGUGAAAUUGCCAAAAGGGAAGGGUAGGAGGUCAGAGAUGCGUUCUGGGAUUCAGCCUGGCUUUUGCUGGGUGCUUUUCCCAGAUUGCAGGCCAACGUCGGUUUUGGGCGCUGGAGAAGGGUGGAAGGAAUGUGGCACCUCUCGGGGUGUGUUAUAGCCUUCUACUGGAUACAGUGACCGAGACCGAGGACAGCAGCGUACUCGCAAGAGCGGGCCUUCGGGCACCUUUACGCUUAGGGCGUUGGCAUAAUGGCCCUCUACCAC
rnacentral:rRNA from 1 species